CCCGACCCGGCGAGGAGAGCACACUGCCCAGUGCCCACGCGGCCACGCCCGCCGCACCCCGCACGGCCUCGGCGCCGCCUGUCUGGCUGUCUCGCCGCUCGCUCAUCCGCCGUACCGGCGUUCAGCAUUCGUCUGACACCCAGCCGUUCCCACCAGUUCGCGCGCCUAAAUGCGCCGCCGCCGCCACCCGUUCUCGCCUCGUCACCACUCGCCAGAUCUAACGCGUCGCGUAACCGUCGUCUGCUGGCGCGUCGUGCCCGCGCGGUGGCGAGCAAGUGACGGCGGCGAGGCCGCGAGGGAGGGAAUGUACGCCGCUGCCGGACUCCUCCCCACUUCCACCGCACUCCAUGGGCAGGCGAGGGUUCCCGGAAGCAACGCACCAGCGGCAGGUUUGUGUGGGGAUGCCUUACUGAGGAAGAUGCAAAUAAGCUAAGGGAAGGGAAUCAAGAUUGGUUUACUUCUCCUAAUCAAGUAUGCCCUCGUUAUCAAAUCCACAUUGGGUUACGCGGUUUCUAGCUGGAAGGUUUGGUGAUCCAGGUUGCUUUUUCGUUGAAUUUACUGAUAGAAUUUGAUGAUGAAACACCGGGCAAUUACUUUCAUCCAAAAUUUCUAAUCUAGCGUUCUUUUCAAAAGGAACUCAUCUUCACAACAUGGGCUUGAAGCAUUAGAGUUUGAUGUUAAAUUCAAAAUUUAGAAGGAAAAAAUCGCUGCAUAUCUAUAAGACAUAUCACUGUAACGUUGUUGCACUUGUCGGUAAGAGCAGGAACAAGAUAAUAAUUGGUGUAAUCAGAUGUUUCCUAUCGUUUUCUAGCUCAACCUCACCAUUUACAAAUAAAGUUCCCAGAACUUGCUAGUAGGUUAGCUAAUAUUAGUUUAAAGCUCAAGCAACGUCUUGCAGCAUUGGUUACAUGAUGACACAUGUGAUCUAGUACAGUUCUUGUCAAGUGACCAGUGAAAUAAGUGAAAUAAGCUAACAUUAUUGAUUGCUUAUUGUCAUUCUUAUAUGCAAUCAACAUAGAUGUAGGGUUGCGGGGAAUCAAACAGUAAACAUACAUUUCUUAUCUUUGUCUUUGAUUUGUAGAACAAGUCAGACAUGAUGGAAUUGACCUACCACCUAGAAUAAUCUCAUUUUUAGUGCCAUCAGUACUGAAAAAUUAAGCCACCUUUUUCAUUUAGUUUUUGUUAAGCUGGGUCUGUCCCCCAUCCGCGCACACACAAAAAUUGGUACAGAUGCAAAAAUGUUCACAAUCUUAAAUUGCAAAGGGGAAAAUAUCAUCAGACUUCCACCUUCUAAUUUUCAUGUGCUGCCUGAUCAGAUUGUGUGCUCAUGAAUAUUUGCUAAUUUGCAUUGUGAUAUAGCUAUGCUAUUAGAUGUUUAAAACGGCAUCUUGCUCUGGGCUUUGCAGUUUGCUUAUGCUAUCACUUAAAGAUCACAAUUCUAGCAACUAACCCUGACUACUGGAAAUAGCAUGUUGAAGGACCUCUCUAUUAGCAUGGAUGCUUUUAGCAUUAUUUAUUUCUUUUAUGUCUGGCAUCACCAAGUUUACCCUAUGUAAUAGGCUAAUAGCAGACAUUUUCAGGAAUGAAAUAGUAUGAUGGAAUGAAUGACACCAUCCAUGCAGGUUGUAGGAUCAAGCCCCCAUAACAUAUGGUUGCAAACUAAGACUAUUAAUCAUGUCCUAGUGUGAUGAUUAGUUCUACCAAGUGUCAACCAAAAAUCUCUCAAGCUGGCAGGAUACACAAAUCGCAUUCAAGCCUUUUCAUCAAUGUAAUGCAGGUCUUUCAAGAUUCAUUCUGACACUCUUACAUAAUUGUCAUCACCAUUGAUCUUGAGGGUAGUUACUCUAUUUCAUACAGAUGGGCAAUGGCCAUUGACUUGUUUUAACUACUUCUACCAUCGUCAAAAUAUUUGUUAUUCUACAACUUCUAGGCAACUUUAACCUGUUGUUUCUAGUCUUACCAUUCCUUUAUUGCAUCAUUAACUUGCUUCUUUCUCCAUGCAUGCACACUUUAGAGCAGAUGAACUGUGAGUAAGAUGGUCAUUUUAUCUACCUCCUCAAUUGAGUAAGGGAGUAUUAUUUAUAUGUGCUGAAAGGAUUUCUAGAAAUUUCUCUUGUAGAUAGACAUAUGCAUGAAUAAGCAACAUAAACUUGUAUCUGUCGACAGAUCUGUGUGCACUUCAAAACCAUCUCUUUUUUGCAUCAGAUAGUUAAGAUUUAAGAGUGUUGGUUAGGAUGGACAGAGCCACUAACAAGGAUAUGGUGCUCGUCCAUUCCGCUAGUGUGGCAUCCUAGUGCACUGCAUUACAUUUUGCUUGCAGUUUACACAAGAUUACAAAGGUCUUUGGUGCUCCAAGAUAUAGUUUUAGGCUUUAGCUGCAGAUUGGUCCAGAACUUGAAUCACAAAAAUCUACACGGUCAUGCUAAGGAUCUCUUGAGAGUGCCUUUCUCAUCUAAAUUUUCCAAAGCACGUUAUACUGAAUUGACUUAGUUUUUUUGUUACAGAGCCUAGUCAUUUCUUCCCCCUUGUCAGCAAAAUGAGUCAUCUACCUGCAGAAAUCUACAUUGUUUGCCGACCAUGUUUCUGACCAGAAAUGGACAGAGGCCUGGCCUGUGGUUGGCUCACCUAUUACAGGUUGUCAAUUAGUAACUACAGGUCUGAGCAAGGUAAGCGACAAUGCAGCAUAUAUGUGACCUUGUCCUUUCAUGGUUCCUUGCACCUUCCAGGUGGCAUUGCUACUGUGUAAAUAUAUAUUUAUGUAGAAGCUAGUAAAACAUAGGCACAAAGUAGAAAUGCCGACCUACCACUAUUUUAUAAUUUAAACAAAUCACACGGGUCUCAGCCCUAGUUGACAAGACAUGAACGCUGAAACCAUUGAAUCUGUCCAGAAGUGAGCUCCAGUCUCUUCUCUGUUCCCAUAUCCUUGUUGGGGAUUUACUCGUCAACUGAUAGUGUGAUACUAGGAGUUCUGCUCCUCAUGGAGCAGAAAACAACUACAAGUUGGCUUAUCCUUGCCCAUUGGUAAUAAGCAGUAGCAAUUGUGGCCCUGUAAGUAGUUUUCAGUCUCAGAGAACCUGUAUUUCUGGAAUUCUGGUGCAGUGAGUCAUCAUCUUGUUCAUCUUCC